rnacentral:pre_miRNA from 1 species
AUGUUACUCCCUCCGUCCGGAAAUACUCGUCGAAGAGAUGGAUGUAUCUAGAUGUAUUUUUAUUCUAGAUGCAUCCAUUUUCAUCCAUUUCUACGACAAGUAUUUCCGGACGGAGGGAGUAUAUC